AAGACCCCGUGAACCUUUACUAUAGCUUGACACUGAACAUUGAGCCUUGAUGUGUAGGAUAGGUGGGAGGCUUUGAAGCGUGGACGCCAGUCUGCGUGGAGCCAACCUUGAAAUACCACCCUUUAAUGUUUGAUGUUCUAACGUUGGCCCCUGACCGGGGUUGCGGACAGUGUCUGGUGGGUAGUUUGACUGGGGCGGUCUCCUCCCAAAGCGUAACGGAGGAGCACGAAGGUUAGCUAAUCCUGGUCGGACAUCAGGAGGUUAGUGCAAUGGCAUAAGCUAGCUUGACUGCGAGCGUGACGGCGCGAGCAGGUGCGAAAGCAGGUCAUAGUGAUCCGGUGGUUCUGAAUGGAAGGGCCAUCGCUCAACGGAUAAAAGGUACUCCGGGGAUAACAGGCUGAUACCGCCCAAGAGUUCAUAUCGACGGCGGUGUUUGGCACCUCGAUGUCGGCUCAUCACAUCCUGGGGCUGAAGUAGGUCCCAAGGGUAUGGCUGUUCGCCAUUUAAAGUGGUACGCGAGCUGGGUUUAGAACGUCGUGAGACAGUUCGGUCCCUAUCUGCCGUGGGCGCUGGAGAAUUGAGGGGGGCUGCUCCUAGUACGAGAGGACCGGAGUGGACGCAUCACUGGUGUUCGGGUUGUCAUGCCAAUGGCACUGCCCGGUAGCUAAAUGCGGAAGAGAUAAGUGCUGAAAGCAUCUAAGCACGAAACUUGCCCCG
rnacentral:rRNA from 1 species